UUAGGUGGCAGUAUAUCACUGAACCAGUGAUGUGUAGCGGGAGUUGACGUGCUGGUUUUAAUGUUAAGAGGAGGAUUAACUGUGACACCACCCCUCUACACAGCUCAUGUUUAUUUUGCUGAUGGGAGAGUUUAAUUAUACAACUGCUGAUACACUGAAGAAAACACAGUGAUUCAUAGCAACAGGGUUUAAUCAAACACUCAGAGAACACAAAAUGAUGCUCCUAUUUUAUUUUUUCCUAAGCAUGACUUUAAACACUGAUAUGGUUUCAGGUUCCUCUCUCAGUGACAAAGAAACCAGGAGAAAAAGUCACAAUCUACUGUUCACACAGUAUUGACGACUAUGAUCGAAUCCUCUGGUACAAGCAAUCAAACAGAGAACUUCAGUUCCUGGGAUACAUCAUAAUAAAUACAGCAAAGUCUGAAGAUGGAGUGGAUGUAAAGAUAGAUGGGAAUGCAAACAAAGGCCAGAACUGCACAUUAACAAUUGAAGGACUCAGCCUGAACGACAGUGCAGUGUACUUCUGUGCUGCUAGUUACCACAGUGCUACAUAUCACUGCUCCUCAGUACAAAAACCUGCCUAUUUAUCUCUGUAUUAAAACUCACAGCUUCUUGCACCUGGAAUAAACCAUUUUAACCAAUGUUGGUCUCUCUGCUGAUUCAGAUCAGAGAUUAUAAUGGGAGGUUCUUUCUGUGGAGCAAUGCUGUUUAACAUCACACCUCCCAUUAUAAACAGCAGCCUCAGACAUUCAGUAUGUCUGCUGUGGCUGUGUCUCAUUUCAUCAGAAUCAUAAUGACAGCUCCAAUACUCAUCACAUUUGCAGUCUCAUCUCUGUUGUUUAUUUAAUCCACGACCUUUCCACAGGCAAUUUCAACCAAAACCACGAUCUUUCCUAAACUAACCAAGUAGUUUUUUAUCCCUAAACCUGACCCAGCGAAGAUGGUAUGUUUAUAAUUGUUAACAUGAAGACGAAGCUCUGGUAUGGCUGCUAUUGGGAAGCCCUCCAACCCUCAGGUUGUACCUGAGCAAUGACUUAUAUGGUUGUUUAGGUUAGAAGACUUCUCUCAGACUCAGAGCUGAAAUUAUAAAAAACAAAUAUUUUAUAUAUUGUAUUGUUAUAGCAGGGUUUCAUGGUUCAUUUCAGGUCGUUGUUAUUUAUUGUUAUUUAUUCAUCUCUGUAUUACAGCUCACAGCCUCCUGCACCUGUAUUCCUUCAUCUCAUUAGGUGGCAGUAUAUCAUUACUCAGACUCAGGUUACAAUGUUAAGGGGAGGAGGAAGCUCUAUGACAUCAACCUAAUGACUUCAUGUUGGUUUGCUGAUUGGACAGUUUACUCAAAGAGGAGGUUGAAAUAAUCAGUAUAACUGCUGAUACACUGAAGAAAACACAAUGAUUGAUUUCAACAAGAUCAUAAAUCACAAUCAAACAAAAUGAUUGUCGUUUUAAUAAUCAUUACUUUUAACACUGUUCUGGUUUCAGGUGCCUCUGUCAGUGACAAAGUCCAACAGACUCCAGCUGACAUUCACAAGAAACAAGAAGAAACAGCCAAAAUCUACUGUUCACACAAUGACAACAACUAUAACCAAAUCCUCUGGUACAAGAAGUCAGAUAGAGAACUACAGUUCCUGGGAUACAUGACAGUAAAUACAGGAAAACCAGAGACUGGAGUGGAUGUAAAGAUAGAAGGGGGUGCAAGUAAAGGACAGAACUGCACAUUAACAAUUGAAAGACUAAAACCAAACAACAGUGCAGUGUACUUCUGUGCUGCUAGUUACCACAGUGCUACAUAUCACUGCUCCUCAGUACAAAAACCUGCCUAUUCAUCUCUGUAUUAAAACUCACAGCUUCUUGCACCUGGAAUAAACCAUUUUAACCAAUGUUGGUCUCUCUGCUGAUUCAGAUCAGAGAUUAUAAUGGGAGGUUCUUUCUGUGGAACAAUGCUGUUUAACGUCACACCUCCCAUUAUAAACAGCAGCUUCAGACAUUCAGUAUGUCUGCUGUGGCUGUGUCUCAUUUCAUCAGAAUCAUAAUGACAGCUCCAAUACUCAUCACAUUUGCAGUCUCAUCUCUGUGGCUUCAAGUUCGCUGCCAGGAUGUGACCCAACACCCUGCAAUCAGCUGGAAUUAUGAGUCCAAAUCUGCAGAGAUGAACUGCAGCCACAACAAAGGCAUUACUUAUAACCAGAUGUACUGGUACAGACAGCGUCCAGGAGAGACCAUGACCUUCA